rfam:Gossypium raimondii chromosome 2, whole genome shotgun sequence.
AAUCCGUGGUGUGAACAUUUUUAAAUCAACAUUUUGAACCGUUCCCAUGUCUCAUAGAAACUUUCUCCCUCCAUUUUUCUAAAAACAACAAUCUCUCUUCUUAGUUG